GGGGCCGUAAUGGUUUUGACGGGGGAACGUCUGGCUUUGACUGCAGCAAGGUGGCGACUCACCGCCAAAAAACAAUAACUGACAACACUGUCAAACCUUGGAUGCUCGGUAACAACAACCGCGUCCUCGCUCGCGCCUAAUUCGCACCUGAAACAAGGUUCCGCUUGAUGCGGACGAGCACGUCCUACCCCGCGUUCGCGCCUUGGCGGGGAUAGGGCGCAACAAAAGGCGAUAAGGGCUCGUUCUAACGGAAGCGAGCCACGAAAACCUUACGUUGAGUCGUCGGGUCCACUUGUCUUGGUCCAGCCCGGCGACGAUUCGACCAAGGCUAAGCUGUAGACGUCAGGGAUGGAUGUCCUUCGGACCGGGGUUCGACUCCCCGCGACUCCACCA
rnacentral:tmRNA from 1 species